UGCCAAGUGCGUCAAAUAAUGAUGUAAUUAUCACGGAAAUCCUUAUAAACGCACGUAUUAAGUUCCGUUUCAGAAGUAUACUACAUUGGACAAGAGUAACAGAUUUUUUAAUUGUAAGUGAACGAGGCUGCGUGUAGUGAGAAGAGGUUUCCUUCAGAUUAUAUGGGGUUCCAGUUCUUCAAACGAUCCACUAGCCGUACAAACCAGCCCCCAACUAGACGGCGAUCUUUUAGCUUCCGCCGAAGUCGUCAGUCAGGGGACGAGAGAAACUCGCAGAGUGGAAACACCUCGACCACUCAGCGCCAUGUUGGCGAAUGUUGCGCUGAGUUGCGAAGUUCACGAGAUAUAGGAAGAUGUUUGCGAGCGAUCGGGGACAAUCUUAACAACAGCACGCUGAGUCUUCACUCGGCAACGUAACCCAGUUAAAUUACCUGUUUGGAAAUUGAAUCAGAGGAAGACGUCGGAUAUAGUAUUUGCCAGCGAACGAGAUUUCAUGAAAGAAUUGUUUAAACUGUAGAAUGAAGAACAGCGAAGAGAGAACACUAAGGAACUUUCGUGUUGAAAGAGAAUUUCCGCUUUUACUUGAUUAUGAGCAGUGUGAUCUACUGUGUUUGACAAUCUCUAUUCACUGCGUCAAGAUAACAGAGACUUAGUAAAUGUGUUAUUUAUUCUUGUUAUAGCGACAUACGUGUGUUGAAAUAAAUCUGUGACGAAGUU